rnacentral:tRNA from 1 species
GAUAAUGAAGUAAAAAUUACAUUUAGUUUCGACCUAAAAUUAGGAUGAAUUUCCCUUAUCU